rnacentral:rRNA from 1 species
UACGGAGGAUCCAAGCGUUAUCCGGAUUUAUUGGGUUUAAAGGGUGCGUAGGCGGUUUAAUAAGUUAGAGGUGAAAUACCGUGGCUCAACCACGGAACUGCCUCUAAUACUGUUCGACUAGAGAGUAGUUGCUGUUGGCGGAAUGUGUGGUGUAGCGGUGAAAUGCUUAGAUAUCACACAGAACACCGAUUGCGAAAGCAGCUGACAAAGCUAUAUCUGACGCUGAGGCACGAAAGCGUGGGGAGCAAACAGG